CCCUUCGUCCCGCACCAGAUCCCUCGCUCCCUCCCGCAUCCCCUCGCGCGACGCCUCUCGUUCCCCACCGCGCCGCCCAUCCAAGCGCCGCGCCGCCGGCCCAGGCGCCGCGCUGCCCGCCCAAGCCGCGAUCUCUUCCGGAUGGCGUUCGCCCUCCUCCGGUCGCCGCUCGCCCUCCCCGUCCGAACCUCGCCCGGCUCCCGGUCGUCUCUCUCUCUCUCUUGUGCGCGGAGGCGGCGCAUCAACCAGGGAUCCAACGAGAGGUGAGUCCUUCCGUUCCUUCUGUACUCGUGCUCUCCCUCCUCCUACGCGUCCGUCUGUGCAGCAAGUCAGCAAGAGUAGUCCAUAGCUAGAUUUGUUGGCGGAACUUCUGAUUAGUUAGCGUGAGCAAUGGCGUGGCUGGAUCCUUCUGUUUAGUUAGCUAGUGAGUUGCAGAUGUUCAGCCCCCUCUCUUGUUGCAGAUGUUUGUGCAAAUUUAGAGCAUUAAGAAACAAAGAGUUGAUCUAUAAAUAAUUUGAUAUGCACUAGCUGUGAUUUGAGCAUUAAGAAACAAAGAGCUGUGAUUUGUAAAUACUUAUAAAGAGCUGAUCUAUAAAUAAUUAUAAAGAGCUGAUCUAUGAAUACUUAUAAAGAGUUGCAGAUGUUCAGGAUCUAUAUUGAGAAACAACUCAAUACUUAUAAAGAGCUGAUCUAUGAAUACUUAUAAAAAGCUGCAGAUGUUCAGGAACUUACACAAAAUAUUAUUUAAUCAACUCAAUACUUCAUCAUUAAAUUAUAUUUUGGUACAAUUUCAUUUUUGUUAUGCAUUAGCUGUUAUAAAUAAUCAAAGUUAGAAAUGUAUCUCAUAAGUUAACAUGGACAAGAUUACUUAUUCCGGAGAAGAGCAUAACUGCAUGUGCGGUGUUGAGUUCGGCUUGCUUGUAGCACUUUCUGGAUGCGCUACUGAUUCUUCUCUUCUGGUACAGGUAGUAUAGCUUGGAGCAGAGCACCAACGAUGGACGGAGACGGCUUCGAUGUGUGGGGUUCGCAGCCGUCGGCAAGCGGCCCCGCUCCCCAUGAAAAUAAAAUUUAUCAUGUUUUGGACCGUUCAUUUGUAAAGAUCAUUUGUUAUGUCAAUUGUGAGUGGGAGGAGGCCACAUAAAAGUCGGCCACACCAAAAAUCCCGCAGGAAAUAGGGUCCAAAGUAGCCAAAUAAUUGAGAAAGAAUAUUUAUUGUCAAUCUAACCCUGCCAUCCAAACA
rnacentral:lncRNA from 1 species